rnacentral:lncRNA from 1 species
UUAUAAUAUGCAUGAGAGAGAUAUGACAUCUGUUGUUUUCAUGUAUGUGGUAAAGGAGUUUAGCUCCUCUUGCCAGGAUUACCGUGGAAACAAACUGUGGUUUAGGUGGUAAAUAGACAAGUCUUGUUUCUCUUUGCUAUUUAUUUCUUUACAGUCUGCUGACCAUGAACAGGACAUUACAUACAGCGCAGUGACACACACCAGAAACAGCACAGCAGCCAUGUGUUUCCCUUCUGUGCUGUCCAUUUCUCAGAGCCUAAACCCAGAGAGACACCAUGAUGUGAUGUACAGCACUGUGAUGCCUGAUCAGUUCAGGACAGCAGAGAAGGAUCCAUUUCCUGAAGCUGAUGAUGAUGUCAAGUACAGCACUGUCAUCCCCCAGCACAAGGCCCAACUAAAAGGACAGACCAAGUCAGCAGAACCAGAUGAUAAUGUGGUCUACAGCUCACUAGCUCUACAGGUGACCACACAGAUCAGUGUUGGUGUCUCCUCUGUCUGUUGUACCAAAUGAUGCUGAUCUCUCAACAAAGAUACAGACAACAUCACAUUACUAUGGGUAGUAAACAGCACUCUUUAAUCACACAAAUCUAUCUUAGUCUUUUUAGUUUUCUGCACUUAAACCUGUAUCACCACUUUUUGAGAAAUGGACCUUAUCAUUACCAUUGUCUAUCUAUAAGAUUACAGUGGUUUGACAGUGACUGAAUGUUUCACUUCCUCUCCAGCAGAGGGAAGCACAGCAGAGACUGACUGGAAUACCUUGGUGGAGUCCUUUUCCUGGAAGGACAGAACACUCCCCUCUCCUGUGUCACAACAUCUAUCUGCCUCCAAUAUGCUUCUGUCAUACCUCUUAACCCACCCCAGAAAGACCCCUCUAUCCUUUUGUGUAAUAAACUACUGAAGACAGUCUGCUGUGUUUGUUUUCAUUAUCACCACAUACACUAUCUGUUAUAUUAGUUAUGUUCCAUCCAC